rnacentral:rRNA from 1 species
UACAGAGAGUGCAAGCGUUAAUCGGAAUCAUUGGGCGUAAAGCGCGCGUAGGUGGAUAUUUAAGUCGGAUGUGAAAGCCCUAGGCUUAACCUGGGAACUGCAUUCGAUACUGGGUAUCUUGAGUCUGGUAGAGGGAAGUGGAAUUUCAGGUGUAGCGGUGAAAUGCGUAGAUAUCUGAAGGAACACCAGUGGCGAAGGCGGCUUCCUGGACCAGUACUGACACUGAGGCGCGAAAGCGUGGGGAUCAAACAGG